AUUGAACGCUGGCGGCAGGCUUAACACAUGCAAGUCGAGCGGAGAUGAGGUGCUUGCACCUUAUCUUAGCGGCGGACGGGUGAGUAAUGCUUAGGAAUCUGCCUAUUAGUGGGGGACAACAUUCCGAAAGGAAUGCUAAUACCGCAUACGUCCUACGGGAGAAAGCAGGGGAUCUUCGGACCUUGCGCUAAUAGAUGAGCCUAAGUCGGAUUAGCUAGUUGGUGGGGUAAAGGCCUACCAAGGCGACGAUCUGUAGCGGGUCGGAGAGGAUGGUCCGCCACACUGGGACGGAGACACGGCCCAGACUCCUAGGGGAGGCAGCAGUGGGGAAUAUUGGACAAUGGGGGGAACCCUGAUCCAGCCAUGCCGCGUGUGUGAAGAAGGCCUUAUGUUUGUAAAGCACUUUAAGCGAGGAGGAGGCUACUGAGACUAAUACUUUUGGAUAGUGGACGUUACUCGCAGAAUAAGCACCGGCUAACUCUGUGCCAGCAGCCGCCGUAACAC
rnacentral:rRNA from 1 species